rnacentral:rRNA from 1 species
CCGUAGCGAAAGCGAGUCUGAAAAGGGCGCAUAAGUAACAGGUCGUAGACCCGUAACCAGGUGAUCUACCCUUGUCCUGGAUGAUGGUAAGGUAAUACUUACUGGAGGUCCGAACCCACGCACGUUGAAAUGUGCGGGGUUGAGGUGUGGGUUGCGGAGAUAUUCCUAUCGAACUUGGAGAUUGCUGGUUCUCUCCGAAUUAGCGUUAGGGCUAGCCUCGAGGUAAAGAGU